rnacentral:rRNA from 1 species
CACGGAGGGUGCGAGCGUUACCCGGAUUUACUGGGCGUAAAGGGCGUGUAGGCGGCCCGUUAAGUCCGGUGUCAAAGCCCACGGCUCAACCGUGGAAAGGCGCCGGAUACUGGCGGGCUAGACGGACGGAGGGGGUAGCGGAAUUCCCGGAGUAGCGGUGAAAUGCGUAGAUACCGGGAGGAACGCCGAUAGCGAAGGCAGCUACCUGGACGUCCCGUGACGCUGAGGCGCGAAAGCGUGGGGAGCAAACCGGAUUAGAUACCCGGGUAGUCCACGCCCUAAACGAUGAGUGCUGGGUGUCGGGCUUUGGCUCGGCGCCGUAGCUAACGCGUUAAGCACUCCGCCUGGGGAGUACGGCCGCAAGGCUGAAACUCAAAGGAAUUGACGGGGGCCCGCACAAGCGGUGGAGCAUGUGGUUUAAUUCGAAGCAACGCGAAGAACCUUACCAGGCCUUGACAUGCCGGGAACCCCCUGGAAACAGGGGGGUGCCCUUCGGGGAGCCCGGACACAGGUGCUGCAUGGCCGUCGUCAGCUCGUGUCGUGAGAUGUUGGGUUAAGUCCCGCAACGAACGCAACCCCUGUCGCUAGUUGCCAGCAGUUCGGCUGGGCACUCUAGCGAGACUGCCCGGGAAACCGGGAGGAA